GACGAACGCUGGCGGCGUGCCUAAUACAUGCAAGUCGAACGCAGUGGGGACGGCUGAGUAACCCGUGGGUAACCUCCCAUCAGAGGGGAUAACACUUGGAAACAGGUGCUAAACCGAUAUUGAUGGCUGGACUCGCUGUGCAGUAGCUAGUUGGCGAGGUAACGGCUCACCAAGGCCACGAGGCAUAGAGGACAGGAGAGGGUGAUCGGACACACUGAGACGGAGACACGGUCCAGACUCCUACGGGAGGCAGCAGUAGGGAAUCUUCGGCAAUGGACGAAAGUCUGACGGAGCAACGCCGCGUGAGUGAAGAAGGUUUUCGGAUCGUAAAACUCUGUUGUUAGAGAAGCGGUAUCUAACCAGAAAGCCACGGCUAACUACGUGCCAGCAGCCGCGGUAAUAC
rnacentral:rRNA from 1 species